rnacentral:lncRNA from 1 species
CUUAAACCUGCCACAGCCAUGUUGUGAUUAUGAAGGGAGCCAACCUGAGGACAAAUCACAUUUUCUGAGGAUGGCAGAGCAAACAGAUGCAAAGAUCCUGGGUCUCUGAUGGCAUUGUUGAGUUGCUGGACAGCUUCCCUACUUUUCACGUUCCUAUGACACAAUGUUAUCAUCAUCCUUGUUGUAUCAGCCAGGGAAGCUAAAGAAUGAUGCGCUCCACCACAAUGAGGGACUAAACAACAAAAAGGAGGCAUGAGAUUCAGGAAGCAAAAAAGGAAUUCAUCAUAUGAAGGAAUGAAGAUGUUCAAAAGAAAACCUUCAACCUCAUGCCAGAAGAUGUUCCCAGCUGUAUAAAUGCCUAACUCAGCUUCUAGUCCUUGGAAAUUAAGCAGCUCAUUGAAAAUUCAAGAGUUCCAGCCAGAAGCUACAGCUAGGCUCAGAUGUUGAAAUCAGUCUCUCCUGCUGAUUAAACUGUG